rnacentral:rRNA from 1 species
AGUGAACGCUGGCGGUAGGCCUAACACAUGCAAGUCGAACGGCAGCACAGGAGAGCUUGCUCUCUGGGUGGCGAGUGGCGGACGGGUGAGGAAUACAUCGGAAUCUACUCUGUCGUGGGGGAUAACGUAGGGAAACUUACGCUAAUACCGCAUACGACCUACGGGUGAAAGCAGGGGACCUUCGGGCCUUGCGCGAUUGAAUGAGCCGAUGUCGGAUUAGCUAGUUGGUGGGGUAAAGGCCCACCAAGGCGACGAUCCGUAGCUGGUCUGAGAGGAUGAUCAGCCACACUGGAACUGAGACACGGUCCACACUCCUACGGGAGGCAGCAGUGGGGAAUAUUGGACAAUGGGCGCAAGCCUGAUCCAGCCAUACCGCGUGGGUGAAGAAGGCCUUCGGGUUGUAAAGCCCUUUUGUUGGGAAAGAAAUCCAGCUGGCUAAUACCCGGUUGGGAUGACGGUACCCAAAGAAUAAGCACCGGCUAACUUCGUGCCAGCAGCCGCCGUAA